rnacentral:rRNA from 1 species
GCAAGUCGAGCGGACAGAUGGGAGCUUGCUCCCUGAUGUUAGCGGCGGACGGGUGAGUAACACGUGGGUAACCUGCCUGUAAGACUGGGAUAACUCCGGGAAACCGGGGCUAAUACCGGAUGCUUGAUUGAACCGCAUGGUUCAAUUAUAAAAGGUGGCUUUUAGCUACCACUUACAAAUGGACCCCCGGCGCAUUACCUAGUUGGUGAGGUAACGGCUCACCAAGGCAACAAUGCGUAGCCAACCUGAAAGGGUGAUCGGCCACACUGGGACUGAAACACGGCCCAAACUCCUACGGGAGGCAGCAUUAGGGAAUCUUCCGCAAUGGACAAAAGUCUGACGGACCAACGCCCCGUGAGUGAUGAAGGUUUUCGAAUCGUAAAACUCUGUUGUUAGGGAAAAACAAUUACCGUUCAAAUAGGGCGGUACCUUGACGGUACCUAACCAAAAAGCCACGGCUAACUACUUGCCACCACCCGCGGUAAUACUUAGGUGGCA